CCCUUAGAUGUCCUGGGCCGCACGCGCGCUACACUGAUGCAUUCAACGAGUUUCUUCCUGGUCCGAGAGGAAUGGGUAACCUUUUGAAAGUGCAUCGUGAUAGGGAUAGACUAUUACAAUUAUUGGUCUUCAACGAGGAAUUCCUAGUAGACGUAGUUCAUCAGACUGCAUCGAUUACGUCCCUGCCCUUUGUACACACCGCCCGUCGCUCCUACCGAUUGAAUGCUCAGGUGAGCCAUUCGGACUUUCAUCAUGCUGGUUUCCAGUUUUGAUGAAGGAAAGUCUUGCGAACCUUAUCAUUUAGAGGAAGGAGAAGUCGUAACA
rnacentral:rRNA from 1 species